CGGACGGGUGAGUAAUGUAUGGGGAUCUGCCCGAUGGCGGGGGAUAACUACUGGAAACGGUAGCUAAUACCGCAUAAUGUCUACGGACCAAAGCGGGGGGACCUCCGGGCCUCGCGCCAUCAGAUGAACCCAUAUGGGAUUAGCUAGUAGGUGAGGUAACGGCUUACCUAGGCGACGAUCCCUAGCUGGUCUGAGAGGAUGAUCAGCCACACUGGGACUGAGACACGGCCCAG
rnacentral:rRNA from 1 species